GCCCGGCACGGUGGCGCGUGCCUGUAGUCCCAGCUACUUGGGAGGCUGAAGUGGGAGAAUUGCUUGAGUUCAGGAAUUCUGGGCUGUAGUGCGCUAUGCCGAUGGGGUGUCUACACUAAGUUCGGCAUCAAUAUGGUGACCUACCGGGAGCGGGGAACCACUAGGUUGCCUAAGGAGGGGUGAACCGGCCCAGGUCGGAAACGGAGCAGGUCAAAACUGCGGCGCUGAGCAGUAGUGGGAUCGCGCCUCUGAAUACCCACUGCACUCCAGCCUGCGCAACACAGCGAGACCUCAUCUCUA
ensembl:misc_RNA Metazoa_SRP Metazoan signal recognition particle RNA